rnacentral:lncRNA from 1 species
GCUAUUAGAAUUAGUUAUUCGUGAUUCUGUUCUAAUUACAGUAAUCACAUUAUUAGAAUUAGUUAUUCGUGAUUCUGUUCUAAUUACAGUAAUCACACUUUUGUUAGUCUGUUAGGAUUUACCAUAUAUUUCUUUUUCCAUUAUUAUGUUCUUCCCAUCCACAGAGAACUCUAUAAAUAAGAGUUCUCCCUUUGAUGUAAACACACAUAAACAUACAAUAAUAACACAGAUUUAGUUUUAUGCAGUUACCUUCGCUUCUCUAUUCUUCUUCUUCUUUCUCGUUUUCUUCUUAUUCUUCUCAGAUCUUCAUCAUCCUUCGAACCCCUUUCGAUCUCCCUUCAGAAGCCUUCACGCAACUAUCCAUACUCCAUCCUUGAAGAAGAACGCUAUUAGUUUGCUGGAGAAUCACCCAGAAGAAGCUUCGGUCCUUCUCUCUGCCAAGGGAUAGCUUCAGCCUUAUCCCUGCUCUGCUCCUCACCUACCUCUGACACGUGAGAAGCUUCCAGCAGAAGACUUUCACAAGUGAAAGGCAACAACGGGCAUUUGGGGUAAAAUGUUGGUUGGGCUUUUCUUAUAAGGCUCGGCCCAAUUUCUUUAUUGUCCAAGGGUCGUAGGCGGGAGGUGCUGGUGCUCGUGAACCACCAUUGCAGUUCAAUCGUGCCUUCGCAAAGUUCACUUCCAGUUUGAGAGGACUCCUGUUGUCGACACUUGCCUCGCGAGGUAAUCUUUCGUUCCCCACAUAUAUGAUAUACAUGUGUUGGAAAUGUGGUGUGGCCGUUUCUUUGGGCCGAGGGUUUACAUGCCGGAAACUACUUGUAGUGGAAAGGCCGCGCACACACUACACUCCAUAAUGCAUCUACUAUUCCAAACAAGGGAAGUAGGAAUUCUCUGGAAAGUGAAAACUACUUUACUUGUUUUUAGAUUGAGUUAGCUUAAAUUGUGGUUUGUAGUCUUGUUUAUGAUUAUGAACGAACUAUGACAUUGAGACUAUCACUUUUACUUCACAUUUUGAGCUGGUACUUACUCUAGGUUUUCUGUGCAGUAUAUCAAAAGGUUUUCAGGGAAAAGACAUGAGUUAUUUUGAUUUGUUAGGAAAUAGAGAGGGCGAAGAUAUCAUUCAAUUGCAAUUUUCUUUGAUCAUUAAUUUUUACAUGUUAAGCUUUUGUUUAAGUUCGUGUUCAAGAAGAAUAUAUUUUUUGCCUGAGUCCGUGUUCAAGUAGAGAGGGUGAAGAUAUAAUUUUUGCCUUGAUUGUAUGAGAAUUUUAUGUCUGAGUCCGUGUUCAAGAGUAUGGGAGAUUGAGNUCACGGGCUUUUGCUCAAGUGACAUGUUUGUUAAAAUAAAAGUUGUACUUUGGAUUCAUGGNCAUUUUGCUCAUAUAAUAUUUAACUUUUUUUCUAACUCAAAUGUGAGACUUGUUCUUGAACAUUUCACACAAAUUCAACUAGCUUGACCCAAGUGUGACNUGUCUUUNGUUUUCAGCNNGGGCUUGUUAAGUUUUGGGUCUCAAAGGCUACAAGUUUUGCUUUCAUUUAUUAUAGUGGCUAUGUGCUACUCUUUUUUGAGUUUUGAAGGCCUCAGGCUUGAUUUUAUUUUGACACUAUUCNUUUGUCCUAGCCUUUUAAAAUACAAAUUUUGGGGCAUUUACUUUCGUUUGUCACUCUAUUUUUUGUAUGGAAGGAUUAUUCUUUCUCUUAUUGAUUGCAAUGAUCGAGGAGAGUAGAUAUGUAGGCAGAAUAGAGAACCAUAAAAUGAAACGAAAAAUAUAUUGGCAGUAGCUUAAGGCCUAUCUUGAGAUAAAUACUCAGUUUGAUUAUUGUCAAAUCGGUUCCCUCUAGAGGACCUUGUCUCUGAUAGGUUUUAGAGCUGCAUUUUCGCUUGCUAAAUUUGCUUUUGCAAAUCUGGAAUCAUAUUGAUUCACACUGCUUCUGAUGAAUAUUUCUUCUUGUUUUAUAGUUUUUCAGGAAGUGAUUGAUUUCAUUUAUGUUGUCUGCAAUUAUUCAUUGCCAUUUUUUUAAAUUUAUUUAACAUGAUUGACUAUUGAAAUUAGAUUGUUUCAUGUUUGGAGUUCAAACCGUUUAUAACCACACCAACUUUUGAGUUAUUGUUAUUCUAUAAUAUCUGAUAUGGGGUACUGCUAAUGUUUAUUUUCUUCUAGUAAGCUUUGGUGUUCUUAAGUUGAUUUCUUUGUUGUUCUAAAGUUUUGUGGUACUGCUAAUCUGAUAUGGGGUACUGCUAAUGUUUAUUAAUGAGCAUGAUAAUGAUAAAGCCAUAGAGACUUUGCAUGAUAAUGUUUAUCUAUCCAAAUAUUGUUGCUUUCUUAAAGUAUUAAAUAAAUUAUGGUUUUCGUGUCUGACUAUAUGAAUUGGAAAGAUUUAGGAAAAAGCUCUGCCAGUGUUGAAAUAAGAAUUAAAAUAAGAAUUAAAAUAACUAUAUAUUAAAUAAAUUAUGGUUUUUUUAUUGGGUGCAUGUUUCGUUUUCUACAAAACCCAAUUCCCCAUACUUCAACUAGCAUAUUCUAGCGUCUUUGAGAAAUAAAAAAUAAAAUAACUAUAUACGCUGCAGUGUUUCCCUGCUUCCACAGUAAAUGGUGUGUUCCAUUAAUUAAUGAAGACAAAAAGAUUUUAAAUUUUGGAUAUCAAAUUGAUAAUGAUCACCAUUCAAAAUUGAUUUAAUCAUUCCAAUGGAUUGGUUCCCAACUCAUUAAUACGAAUAUAGAGAUAGAUCAUAGAACAUGUAGAUUUUGGUUUGAUGAUGAUAAUUGUCAUCAUUAAUAUGAAUACAGGUGAAACUUAUAUAAAGUGCAGAGUGGUUGUGUUUUCAUAGAAAUUUCGGCAUUAAACAAUAUAUAUUAGGAAAUUGAAAGAAAUUGGGUGCAAGCUUUUAUUUUGUUUCUUCUUUGUUUAAUGAUGCAGUUUCAAGUUCAUUUAAAGCUAUGUUAAGUGUUGCAAAUGAUGAAAUUUGGAGGAAGGCUUGGUGUUCAAUACUUGGAUGCUGGUUCUUGGUCAACUAUUGCAGUAGCUUUAAUUCUUGCAUUUUUCAGUUAGAUUGAGGUUGACGUGAAUUCAUCAGAUUGAUUAGAAGUUGUUGGACCAACUUUAGGCAUUAGAAAUUGGCAGAUUUUGGAGUCUGGUGCAGCAACUUGUUUCUAGAAGGAGGCUGGACGUUGAACCAGUUUUUGGCUUGCAGGUUUUUGGUGCAGUUUUAGCACUGUUGGAGCAACCAAAGGUCUUAAAUGGAACUGGAAAAGUGCUUCAUGAUGUUGCUUGAACUUGGAUAGUCUUUAUUAUUAGUUCUCAUUUACAUUUGCUCUUCCAUUGUCAGGUGUUUUCUUAUGUAGAAGUAGAAUUUAAAUGUUUUUUCUCUGUACUGAAGUGUAAGAACUUGUAAUGUUGUAGUGUUGUGAUAACAAGUAUCUUAUGUAAAAGACUACAAACAUAUUAUGCAAUAUUAUUUGAUUAUAUCUCCUUUUCAAUUGUCCUUCUCUAAUAGAAAUAUUAGUAGGUAGUUUAACUUAUGUCAUGAAAAAUUUAUAAUCUAAACUAGUGGAAUGAAACUAGAG